UGCAGGUCUUUGUCCUAGGCUCCCAUGAAACUGACAGUCUGUGGCUUCCUCAGUCAAUAGGCUGGAGCAGCACCCAGACGUGUCCUCUCAAGAUCCAGACACGCCAAGCCCGUGCCUUUCUUGGUUGUGGGCAGUGCAAGGCGCAGCCGGGAGACCGUGACGGUCCAGAGGCCACUGGUUCGUCCUGGAAUUGAGCCGUCGCCGUCCAGGGCACGGCUUCCUGCUCACCAGGGCCACUGCUGUGAUGUCCCCAGUGCAUCCAAAUGGUAUGUCCACACGCAGACCCUAAGAUGGGGACAUUGUCCCUGCCCGCCCAAGUCGCAUUGAUCAUCUCAUUGGUGUUGAGAAGAAAGCGAUAAGGGAAUCGGGAAGCAGAACCUUUUAGGACGGCACUGGGACAGAUGCUGCUGCUUCUGAACCCAUGUCAAGAGUUCCUCCCAAAACAGCGGAGAAGUGCGAGGUCUGCUCUGGGAGGGGUGGCCCACACAGAUCGCAGCGUCCCCUGAACCCCAGGAACGAGCUCGGGCUGCCAACCAACACCACAAACCGGGUGGCUAUGACCAACAGAAAUCACGUCUCACCGUUGUGGAGGCUGCAAGUCCAGGAUCGGGGUGCUGCAGGGGGUUCAGCCGAGGGCCUCUGCUGGGUGUGGACGGCUGGCUCCUCCUUGUGUCUUCAGAGGUGCACUCUCAGGGCUCAUGGGAUCACUGCGUCUGUCUGUGAGGGCUCCACCUCGCAGCCUCGUCGGAGCCCAGGCCGUGUCUUGUCGCAUGGAUCGUCCCUGUGUCCAGCUGACAGAACAGGAGAGGCCCGCCUCUGACCUGCACCUGGAUCCGCACGGUGUGCUGGCAUCCGCUGCACCCCACACAGGCUCAGGGCCUUGGAAGAUUGCAGGUGGCAAACCAGGCGGUACCUCUGGCGGCCCACUUCAGGUGGAGAGAGCCAGCCGAGCCCUGAUCCGUAUGCGCCCUUGUCUGUGACUGUCCAGCUGGCCCUCCACGGCAGAGAAGAGACCGCAGGGGGGUAUCCAGCAGGUCUCUCCCGUCCCGCAGGACACGCACUGGAAGCACGCUCUGGUGGGCGGGGUGACACCUGUGGAUGUCACCCAGCCUCUUAAGUGGCAGGAAAGGAGACCUGCAUUGGCUCAACACCACCCCCUCUCACAAAGGCUUCCUGGCUUCUGCAGCUCCUCAGUCCCUGCACUGCCAGCCACAGACGCCAAUGCGGAGCCCUUGACGAGGCAGGCAGUCCCCUCCACCACAGAGGAGGCAGUAGUUGGUCCCACCAGGAACAGACACGUUCCUGUCUGCGGGGCGUCUGCCAACAGUGCGAUCUGAGGACCUGGAGAAUGUCUUACCUGCUGCCUUAGCUCUGUGUGACGGCGCCUCUUUGCAGCAGGCCCACAUUUUAUUUGUUGUACGGUCGCACCUGCUGCACAUGGAAGGUCCCACCCAGCCUAGGGAUCGAAUCCAAGCCACAGCUGCAACCUAUACCGCAGCUGGGGCAAUGCUGAAUCCUUUAACCCACUGCACCGGGCUGGGAGUCAAACCCGCACCUUCCCAGCAACCCAAGCCACUGCACUCGGAUGCUUAACCCACUGUGCCCCAGUGGGAACUCCAGCAGCAGGCAUAUUUUAAAGCAAUGAAAGUGUGCAGGAUGAGCUCACGUGGAAGCCACUGGUGUCACCACAUUGGGGGAGCUUAUUGAGGACAUGACCUGUGGAAGUUUGACCUGUGAGCCAGACCCCCAACAGAGGCCCCCACCGGCUCCCUGUCCUUGGAAGGUGCUUUCUGCCCCAAGGCUGCAGCCUCGAGACCGGC
rnacentral:lncRNA from 1 species